rnacentral:ncRNA from 1 species
AAGCGGCGUGGACGCGAUGAUCACAGCCCUGUAAGCGGUUGCUUGGGGCUGCGGGAGCAAGUAGCGAGACCGGCCACGCAUCUC